rnacentral:rRNA from 1 species
AGUGGCGAACGGGUGAGUAAUAUAUCGGAACGUACCCUAGAGUGGGGGAUAACGUAGCGAAAGUUACGCUAAUACCGCAUACGAUCUAAGGAUGAAAGUGGGGGAUCGCAAGACCUCAUGCUCGUGGAGCGGCCGAUAUCUGAUUAGCUAGUUGGUAGGGUAAAAGCCUACCAAGGCAUCGAUCGGUAGCUGGUCUGAGAGGACGACCAGCCACACUGGAACUGAGACACGGUCCAGACUCCUACGGGAGGCAGCAGUGGGGAAUUUUGGACAAUGGGCGAAAGCCUGAUCCAGCAAUGCCGCGUGAGUGAAGAAGGCCUUCGGGUUGUAAAGCUCUUUUGUCAGGGAAGAAACGGUGAGAGCUAAUAUCUCUUGCUAAUGACGGUACCUGAAGAAUAAGCACCGGCUAACUACGUGCCAGCAGCCGCGGUAAUACGUAGGGUGCAAGCGUUAAUCGGAAUUACUGGGCGUAAAGCGUGCGCAGGCGGUUUUGUAAGUCUGAUGUGAAAUCCCCGGGCUCAACCUGGGAAUUGCAUUGGAGACUGCAAGGCUAGAAUCUGGCAGAGGGGGGUAGAAUUCCACGUGUAGCAGUGAAAUGCGUAGAUAUGUGGAGGAACACCGAUGGCGAAGGCAGCCCCCUGGGUCAAGAUUGACGCUCAUGCACGAAAGCGUGGGGAGCAAACAGGAUUAGAUACCCUGGUAGUCCACGCCCUAAACGAUGUCUACUAGUUGU